UAGGGAAUCUUCGGCAAUGGACGAAAGUCUGACCGAGCAACGCCGCGUGAGUGAAGAAGGUUUUCGGAUCGUAAAACUCUGUUGUUAGAGAAGAACAAGGACGUUAGUAACUGAACGUCCCCUGACGGUAUCUAACCAGAAAGCCACGGCUAACUACGUGCCAGCAGCCGCGGUAAUACGUAGGUGGCAAGCGUUGUCCGGAUUUAUUGGGCGUAAAGCGAGCGCAGGCGGUUUCUUAAGUCUGAUGUGAAAGCCCCCGGCUCAACCGGGGAGGGUCAUUGGAAACUGGGAGACUUGAGUGCAGAAGAGGAGAGUGGAAUUCCAUGUGUAGCUGUGAAAUGCGUAGAUAUAUGGAGGAACACCAGUGGCGAAGGCGGCUCUCUGGUCUGUAACUGACGCUGAGGCUCGAAAGCGUGGGGAGCAAACAGG
rnacentral:rRNA from 2 species